CCUACGGGUGGCUGCAGUGGGGAAUAUUGGACAAUGGGCGAAAGCCUGAUCCAGCCAUGCCGCGUGUGUGAAGAAGGCCUUCGGGUUGUAAAGCACUUUCAGUGGGGAAGAAAGCCUUGGGGCUAAUACCCCCGAGGAAGGACAUCACCCACAGAAGAAGCACCGGCUAACUCCGUGCCAGCAGCCGCGGUAAUACGGAGGGUGCGAGCGUUAAUCGGAAUUACUGGGCGUAAAGCGCGCGUAGGCGGUCUGAUAAGCCGGUUGUGAAAGCCCCGGGCUCAACCUGGGAACGGCAUCCGGAACUGUCAGGCUAGAGUGCAGGAGAGGAAGGUAGAAUUCCCGGUGUAGCGGUGAAAUGCGUAGAGAUCGGGAGGAAUACCAGUGGCGAAGGCGGCCUUCUGGACUGACACUGACGCUGAGGUGCGAAAGCGUGGGUAGCAACCAGGAUUAGCUACCCCAGUAGUC
rnacentral:rRNA from 1 species